AUUGAACGCUGGCGGCAGGCUUAACACAUGCAAGUCGAGCGAGCGGCGGACGGGUGAGUAAUGUCUGGGAUACUGCCUGAUGGAGGGGGAUAACUACUGGAAACGGUAGCUAAUACCGCAUACAUUCAGAUUUGCCCAGAUGGGAUGAGCUAGUAGGUGGGGUAAUGGCUCACCUAGGCGACGAUCCCUUGCUGGUCUGAGAGGAUGACCAGCCACACUGGAACUCAUGCACGGUCCAGACUCCUACGGGAGGCAGCAGUGGGGAAUAUUGGACAAUGGGCGCAAGCCUGAUGCAGCCAUGCCGCGUGGGUGAAGAAGGCCUUCGGGGUGUAAAGCACUUUCAGCGAGGAGGCGUUACUCGCAGAAGAAGCACCGGCUAACUCCGUGCCAGCCGGCGCGGUAAUAC
rnacentral:rRNA from 1 species